GCAAAUAUAAUUUAAUGGUAGAAUUUAAGUCUUCCAAACUUAUAGUACGAGUUCAACUCCCGUUAUUUGCU
rnacentral:tRNA from 1 species